rnacentral:rRNA from 1 species
CAUCACUACGCUAGAUGCAUAUCAAUAAGCGGAGGAAAAGAAACUAACAAGGAUUCCCUUAGUAACGGCGAGUGAAGCGGGAAGAGCUCAAAUUUGAAAUCUUCAAGGUUUUACCUUGACGAAUUGUAGUUUAAAGAAGUGUUUUCUGUUGAAGUUUUGGUAAAAGUUCUUUGGAAUAGGACAUCAUAGAGGGUGAGAAUCCCGUAUUUGGUCAUUCCUCCUAGCGUUGUGAUACACUUUCAACGAGUCGGAUUGUUUGGGAAUGCAGUCCAAAAUGGGUGGUAAAUUUCAUCUAAAGCUAAAUAUUGGCGAGAGAUCGAUAGCGAACAAGUACCGUGAGGGAAAGAUGAAAAGAACUUUGAAAAGAGAGUUAAACAGUACGUGAAAUUGUCAAAAGGGAAGCGUUUGACACCAGUGUUGUUUAGUUGAAAAUCAAUUCAAUAAUUUUUGAUUUUAAGUAGUAUUGACUUCAUCAGCUUGCUGCUCUCUUUUCGGAAAUUAUUGAAUGCACUUUUCAGUUAACAAGUCAACAUCAAUUUCUUUUGUUGUAAAAGGGUAAGAGGAAGGUGGCUUACGCUUCGGCGUAAGUGUUUAUAGCCUUUUACCUCUGCAAUCGGAGAGAUUGAGGACAGCAGCGUAGACUCUUCGGGGUUAGAUACACUUGUGCUAAGCUAUAGCCUUGUAUAGACAACUUGUUGACUAUGCUCAGUCAUGUAGCUUACUCGCUUGUGCUAUUUUACCUACGCUUAGGAUGUUGAAGAUAUGCGCGACACG